CUUAGCUCAGUUGGUAGAGCAUCUGACUUUUAAUCAGGUGGUCGAUGGUUCGAGUCCAUCAGG
rnacentral:tRNA from 1 species